CCGCAUGGGAACUCCAACUAAAGAUGGCCUCUACUUGUAAGCUAUCGCUUUGCGAUGGGUCUGCGUCUGAUUAGCUAGUUGGUGGGGCAACGGCCUACCAAGGCGACGAUCAGUAGCCGGUCUGAGAGGAUGAACGGCCACAUUGGAACUGAGACACGGUCCAGACUCCUACGGGAGGCAGCAGUGGGGAAUCUUCCGCAAUGGGCGAAAGCCUGACGGAGCAACGCCGCGUGAGUGAAGAAGGUCUUCGGAUCGUAAAGCUCUGUUGUCGGGGACGAAUGUUGAGGCCUAGAACAUAGGUUUCAAAUGACGGUACCUGACGAGGAAGCCACGGCUAACUACGUG
rnacentral:rRNA from 1 species